rnacentral:rRNA from 1 species
UACAGAGGUCCCAAGCGUUGUUCGGAUUCAUUGGGCGUAAAGGGUGCGUAGGUGGCGCCGUAAGUCGGGUGUGAAAUUUCGGAGCUUAACUCCGAAACUGCAUUCGAUACUGCGGUGCUUGAGGACUGGAGAGGAGACUGGAAUUCAUGGUGUAGCAGUGAAAUGCGUAGAGAUCAUGAGGAAGACCAGUGGCGAAGGCGGGUCUCUGGACAGUUACUGACACUGAGGCGCGACAGCGUGGGGAGCAACAGG